CUUUAGAUAUCCUAGAGGCGUAGAAGCUUCUGAUGGUGGGUCUGUUCGCCCUUUAAAAUCUAACAUGAGCUGAGUUCAGAACGGCGUGAGCUAGUUCAGUUUCUAUCCUCUUUUUGAAAUGAGCUAAUUUUGUACGAAAGGACUUUUUCGCUAAAGCAAUGCUUUGUCACAAAUCUGUGGUUGCAUAAAUAAUAGUGUAUAAUAGGUUGAUUAGCCUGUAGGAAGGGUUA
rnacentral:rRNA from 1 species